CAGCGUUCUCAGGGCGGGGUGCAAUUCCCCACCGGCGGUAUCUGUGCAGUCUUGGGCCAUCCAGGGCAGUGCAGGAGCCCGCGAGCGCCUGCAGCAACUGGCUGGUGUCUUCGGAUGCAUGCCAGGAGCGGCGGGGUCAGCAGAUCUGGUGCGAUGCCAGAGCCGACGGUCACAGUCCGGAUGAAAGAGAUCGCGA
rnacentral:ncRNA from 2 species